rnacentral:rRNA from 1 species
AUGGGCGCAAAGCCUGAUGCAGCAAUGCCGCGUGUGUGAAGAAGGCUGCGGGUUGUAAAGCACUUUCAGUAGGGAGGAAACAGCAUCGGUUUAAUAAACCGGUGUCUUGACGUUACCUACAGAUAGAAGCACCGGUCUAACUCUGUGCCAGCAGCCGCGUUAAUACAGAGGGUGCAGAGCGUUAAUCGGAAUUAUUGGGCUUAAAGCGCGCKUAGGCGGUUUGGUAAGUCGGAUGUGAAAGCCCUGGGCUUAACYUGGGAAUUGCAUUCGAUAUUGCCUGAUUAGAKUGUGGUAGAGGGAAGCGGAAUUCCGGGUGUAGCGKUGAAAUGCGUAGAGAUCCGGAGGAACAUCAKUGGCRAAGGCGGCUUCUUGGACUAACAYUGACGYUGAGGUGCGAAAGCGUGGGGAGMAAACAGGAUUAGAUACCUUGKUAGUCCACG